GUAGCAGCCAAAGAACAGUAAUGAAGAUGGAAGGGGUUAGACAGAAUAUUGGCUUACUGAGCUGAUCAGUGGUCUGUUAAACCUCUUCCAACUUCAUCACAUCUGGCUGCUGCCCAAGGAGGAAUCUUGUGUGUUUUCCAGCUGAAAAUGAGUAUUCACCACCAAGCUGUACCUACACCUCACUUGGGUACAGACAUCACCCACAGCUGCAUUCUAUGAUGAAGAGACACAUCCAGAAGCUGCAGCCUCCAGUCUGUAUUCCAACAGCAGUGCCUGGUGAACCCUCACUGCCAGUUUCAUCAACAUCAAAAACCUUCAGCUCUGUGUACACAAUUU